rnacentral:rRNA from 1 species
UCAAGCAAAGAAGAGCACAAGGUGGAUGCCUUGGCACUAAGAGCCGAUGAAAGACGUGACAAGCUGCGAUAAGCGACGGAGAGGAGCAAAUAUCCAUCGACCCGUCGAUUUCUGAAUGGGGAAACCCGGCUAAGCAAACCUUAGUCACUGUAUGGUGAAUCCAUAGCCAUACAGGGGGAACCCGGGGAACUGAAACAUCUAAGUACCCGGAGGAAGAGAAAAUAAACAUGAUUUCCUAAGUAGCGGCGAGCGAACGGGAAAGAGCCUAAACCGCAGUGCGUGCACUGCGGGGUUCGGACUGCAGGAUGUGAGCAGGCAGGUAGCAGAAUGGUUUUGGGAAAGCCAGCCAGAGAGAGUGAAAGCCUCGUAAGCGAAACCGAAAUGCAGCAAGCAGAAUCCAGAGUACCACGAGACACGAGAAACCUUGUGGGAAUGAGCGGGGACCACCCCGUAAGGCUAAAUACUCCUUAGUGACCGAUAGCGGAUAGUACUGUGAAGGAAAGGUGAAAAGAACCCCGGGAGGGGAGUGAAAGAGAACCUGAAACCUAGUGUUUACAAGCUGUGGAACCACGAAGGCAGGCAACUGUCCGGUGGAACUGCGUACUUUUUGUAGAACGGUCCGGCGAGUUACGCAUGCAGGCAAGGUUAAGGACGGAAAGUCCGGAGCCGAAGGGAAACCAAGUCUGAAAAGGGCGCCCCGCAAGGGAAGCGAGUCUGUAUGUGUAGACCCGAAACCGGGUGAUCUACCCAUGUCCAGGUUGAAGCUGCUGUAAAAGGCGGUGGAGGACCGAACGCACAUCUGUUAAAAAAGGUGGCGAUGAGGUGUGGGUAGGGGAGAAAUUCCAAUCGAACCCGGAGAUAGCUGGUUCUCCCCGAAAUAGCUUUAGGGCUAGCCUUGAACAAGACAGAUGGAGGUAGAGCACUGAAUUUCCUAGGGGGCGUCAAAGCUUACCGAAGAAUAUCAAACUCCGAAUGCCAUACUGCCGAUGUUCAGGAGUCAGACUGUCCGAGAUAAGUUGGAUCGUCGAGAGGGAAACAGCCCAGAUCACCAGCUAAGGUCCCAAAGUACAUGUUAAGUGGGAAAGGAGGUGGGAGUUCGAAGACAACUAGGAUGUUGGCUCAGAAGCAGCCAUACAUUGAAAGAGUGCGUAAUAGCUCACUAGUCGAGAGGUCCUGCGCCGAAAAUAACCGGGGCUAAAACAUGACACCGAAGCUGUGGAUUUACAAAGAGAUUUGUGAGUGGUAGGGGAGCAUUGUUAUUUUAGGGAAGCGGAACCGAGAGGAGCCGUGGAGAAAUAAGAAGAGAGAAUGCCGGAAUGAGUAGCGAGAGGAAGGUGAGAAUCCUUCCGGCCGAAUAUCUAAGGUUUCCAGAGUAAAGCUGAUCUGCUCUGGGUAAGUCGGGGCCUAAGGCGAGGACGAAAGUCGUAGUCGAUGGACAACAGGUAGAGAUUCCUGUACUCCGUAUGAACAGAACUGUGGGGACGCGGUCAGAAAGUCUUAGCCGGGAGAGGAAAAACCGGCCCAAGCGAAGAACCGGUCAGGGAGGCAAAUCCCCCUGGCAACGGGAAAGCGUGAUGGAUACCGAACCAAAGAGUAGGGAAGAAGAUGAGCUGACCGCCGAGAAAAGCCACUAUAGCUUGAUACGGACCCGUACCGCAAACCGACACAGGUAGAUGAGGAGAGAAUCCUAAGGCCGACGGGAGAAGCAUUGUUAAGGAACUCGGCAAAAUGACCCCGUAACUUCGGGAGAAGGGGUGCCUGCGCGAGCAGGCCGCAGAGAAUAGGUCCAAGCAACUGUUUAGCAAAAACACAGGUCUAUGCGAAACCGAAAGGUGAAGUAUAUGGGCUGACGCCUGCCCGGUGCUGGAAGGUUAAGGGGAGAGCUUAGCGGGUAACUGCGAAGGUUUGAACUGAAGCCCCAGUAAACGGCGGCCGUAACUAUAACGGUCCUAAGGUAGCGAAAUUCCUUGUCGGGUAAGUUCCGACCCGCACGAAAGGCGUAAUGAUUUUCUCAACAAUGCACCCGGUGAAAUUGAAAUACCAGUGAAGAUGCUGGUUACCCGCGCCAGGACGGAAAGACCCCAUGGAGCUUUACUCUAGCUUGAUGCUGGGAUUCGGUACGGCAUGUACAGGAUAGGUGGGAGACUUAGAAGGGAUGACGCCAGUUGUCCCGGAGUCGCUGUUGGGAUACCACCCUUGUCGUAUUGGAUUUCUAACUAACCGCCGUAAACCGGCGGGAGGACACCGUCAGGCAGGGAGUUUGACUGGGGCGGUCGCCUCCGAAAGAGUAUCGGAGGCGCUCAAAGGUUCCCUCAGAAUGGACGGAAACCAUUCGGAGAGUGUAAAGGCAGAAGGGAGCUUGACUGUGACACCGACGGGUGGAGCAGGUAGGAAACUAGGACUUAGUGAUCCGGUGGUAUAAAGUGGGAUUGCCAUCGCUCAACGGAUAAAAGCUACCCUGGGGAUAACAGGCUAAUCACUCCCAAGAGUUCACAUCGACGGAGUGGUUUGGCACCUCGAUGUCGGCUCAUCGCAUCCUGGGGCUGAAGUAAGUCCCAAGGGUUGGGCUGUUCGCCCAUUAAAGCGGUACGCGAGCUGGGUUCAGAACGUCGUGAGACAGUUCGGUCCCUAUCCGGCGCGGGCGCAGGAUAUUUGAGAGGAGCUGCCCUUAGUACGAGAGGACCGGGGUGGACUGACCGCUGGUGAACCGGUUGUGUUACCAAACGCAUCGCCGGGUAGCCAAGUCGGGCCGGGAUAAACGCUGAAGGCAUCUAAGCGUGAAGCCCCCCUUAAGAAGAGAUAUCCAAGGAAGGAAGCUUCUUCGGAAGCGGAGAACCUGAAGACCCCUUGAAGACGACAAGGUAGAUAGGCUUGAGGUGGAAGUGCAGUAAUGUAUGAAGCUGACAAGUACUAAUCGGUCGAGAGCUUGACCU